UACGAAGGGUGCAAGCGUUAAUCGGAAUUACUGGGAGUAAAGCGUGCGCAGGCGGCUUUGCAAGACAGAUGUGAAAUCCCCGGGCUCAACCUGGGAACUGCAAUUGUGACUGCAAGGCUAGAGUACGGCAGAGGGGGAUGGAAUUCCGCGUGUAGCAGUGAAAUGCGUAGAUAUGCGGAGGAACACCAAUGGCGAAGGCAAUCCCCUGGGCCUGUACUGACGCUCAUGCACGAAAGCGUGGGGAGCAAACAGG
rnacentral:rRNA from 1 species